rnacentral:rRNA from 1 species
UACGUAGGGAGCAAGCGUUGUCCGGAAUCAUUGGGCGUAAAGCGCGCGUAGGCGGCCCUGUAAGUCCGUUGUGAAAGUCAAAGGCUCAACCUUUGAAAGCCGAUGGAUACUGCAGGGCUGGAGUCCGGAAGAGGCGAGUGGAAUUCCUGGUGUAGCGGUGGAAUGCGCAGAUAUCAGAAGGAACACCAAUGGCGAAGGCAGCUUGCUGGGCCUUACCUGACGCUCAGAGACGAAAGCGUGGGGAGCGAACGGG